rnacentral:rRNA from 1 species
CUGGCGGCAGGCCUAACACAUGCAAGUCGAGCGCACUCUUCGGAGUGAGCGGCGGACGGGUUAGUAACGCGUGGGAACAUACCCUUCUCUACGGAAUAGCCUCGGGAAACUGAGAGUAAUACCGUAUACGCCCUUCGGGGGAAAGAUUUAUCGGAGAUGGAUUGGCCCGCGUUAGAUUAGAUAGUUGGUGGGGUAAUGGCCUACCAAGUCUACGAUCUAUAGCUGGUUUGAGAGGAUGAUCAGCAACACUGGGACUGAGACACGGCCCAGACUCCUACGGGAGGCAGCAGUGGGGAAUCUUAGACAAUGGGCGCAAGCCUGAUCUAGCCAUGCCGCGUGAGUGACGAAGGCCUUAGGGUCGUAAAGCUCUUUCGCCAGGGAUGAUAAUGACAGUACCUGGUAAAGAAACCCCGGCUAACUCCGUGCCAGCAGCCGCGGUAAUACGGAGGGGGUUAGCGUUGUUCGGAAUUACUGGGCGUAAAGCGUACGUAGGCGGAUUGGAAAGUAUGGGGUGAAAUCCCAGGGCUCAACCCUGGAACUGCCCUGUAAACUAUCAGUCUAGAGUUCGAGAGAGGUGAGUGGAAUUCCAAGUGUAGAGGUGAAAUUCGUAGAUAUUUGGAGGAA